rnacentral:rRNA from 1 species
UCUACGGGUGGCAGCAGUGGGGAAUAUUGCACAAUGGGGGAAACCCUGAUGCAGCGACGCCGCGUGAGUGAAGAAGUAUUUCGGUACGUAAAGCUCUAUCAGCAGGGAAGAAAAACCGGCCUUAGGGCCGCCAGACGGUACCUGACUAAGAAGCCCCGGCUAACUACGUGCCAGCAGCCGCGGUAAUACGUAGGGGGCAAGCGUUAUCCGGAUUUACUGGGUGUAAAGGGAGCGUAGACGGCAGGGCAAGUCUGGAGUGAAAUGCAGGGGCCCAACCCCGGAACUGCUGGGGAAACUGUGCAGCUGGAGUGCAGGAGAGGUAAGCGGAAUUCCUAGUGUAGCGGUGAAAUGCGUAGAUAUUAGGAGGAACACCAGUGGCGAAGGCGGCUUACUGGACUGUAACUGACGUUGAGGCUCGAAAGCGUGGGGAGCAAACAGGAUUAGAUACCCCUGUAGUC